AUCAACUUUCGAUGGUAGGAUAGAGGCCUACCAUGGUGGUAACGGGUAACGGGGUGUUAGGGCACGACACCGGAGAGGGAGCCUGAGAAACGGCUACCACAUCCAAGGAUGGCAGCAGGCGCGCAAAUUACCCAAUCCCGACACGGGGAGGUAGUGACAAUAAAUAACAAUACGAGGUUCUUUCGGAUUUCGUAAUUGGAAUGAGUACAAUUUAAAUCUCUUAACGAGGAACAAUUGGAGGGCAAGUCUGGUGCCAGCAGCCGCGGUAAUUCCAGCUCCAAUAGCGUAUAUUAAAGUUGUUGCAGUUAAAAAGCUCGUAGUUGAAUCUUGGGCCUGGCUGGGUGGUCUUGCCGAAAGGUAAGUACUGCUUUGGUCGGGUCUUUCCUUCUAGGGAACUAGCGUGCCCUUAAUUGGGUGCGUUAGGGAUCUAGGACUUUUACUUUGAAAAAAUUAGAGUGUUUAAAGCAGGCUCACGCUUGAAUACAUUAGCAUGGAAUAAUGAAAUAGGACGUUUGAUUCUAUUUUGUUGGUUUCUAGGAUCGACGUAAUGAUUAAUAGGGAUAGUUGGGGGCAUUAGUAUUCAAUUGUCAGAGGUGAAAUUCUUGGAUUUAUUGAAGACUAACUACUGCGAAAGCAUUUGCCAAGGAUGUUUUCAUUAAUCAAGAACGAAAGUUAGGGGAUCGAAGACGAUCAGAUACCGUCGUAGUCUUAACAUAAACUAUGCCGACUAGGGAUCGGAUGAUGUUAAUUUUUUAAUGACUCAUUCGGCGCCUUACGGGAAACCAAAGUGUUUGGGUUC
rnacentral:rRNA from 1 species